GUUUGUUUCUUUCUUCAAGAAGAUAAGUAAAUCAUUUACAUUUUUCAAAUCAUUCAAAGAAUUCAAGCUUCCAAAAACUUCUAUAAAGGAUGAGCAAAACGAUGGAUUGAAAAAUUCAACCUCCAUUAAUGGAGGAUGAAUCCUCCAUUAAUGGAGAUGAAGGUUGUGUGGAGUUUAGUGAUUAUGAUGCUAUAGUGGUAAUGGAAAUUUGAUUGUGGGUCUGGAAGAAAAUGAAAGAAAAAUGUAUGAAUAGAAAAAGGAAAAAGAAAACGUUGGGGGUGGGGUGAGUUGAG
rnacentral:lncRNA from 1 species